GUGAAAAAUUGUGCCAGAAAACAUAGCUCUCAAACUAAGGGCCCACAUACUCUGAACAGACUCUAUACGCAUGCAGUAAGUGCCAAAAUAUCCACAGCCUCCUCAAGACAUUCCACAUCCACGUUCUGGUGACUCAUUCAGACUGCAUACAGCGAUGACAAAGCAUCUUAUUCUAUUGCUUGCCAUCUUGGACAUCGCCAUUAAAACAUUAAACACUGAAGAGGAGCUGAAGGAGACUGGGUUUGGAUAUCCACCUCCUCGACACGGACUCGCCCUAAUUAAGUGGUAUGUGAAAACAUGCAUCAACAAUAAUACGGAGGCUCUAUGUAACCCUGUAGCUGGAGAAUUUGGGUUCCAUGUGUUCCAUAACAGCAGGUUUCUGCUCCCUCCGCUGAAGGACAAACGCACGUAUAUGUACUUCACCAUAUAGGAAACCUUCACUAACGGCACUCUAAGGACCUUCCCUAUGAAGUGAGGAAAUAUUAUGAUCCACAUAACAAAAUGAGCAACAUGGACAGAGUCACUGUGAAGCUCAAUAGUAACAAGAACAAAACUAAGGAGAUCUACAUAUCAGAGCACCAAAUCCUCUCAAAACUUUUCAGUUAGGAGUCUCUCUCAUCAGUGACUUAAGACGGCACCAGAACGAAACGCAAAAGGUUUUUCCAAUAAUCUCUCAAAACAUUUUUACAUAAGAUAUUCCCCACAGCUGAGCCCAUUUGCACUUUCAGUUUACUAGAGAUUUUGUUAAGCCAGCUUUCACUUCUGGGUUUUUCUUCUGUACUAGCCCACUUUAUUCCGCUUCCUAUUUUCAUUCUCUCCAUCACAUACCACAAAACAAUUUAGUAACUUCCUCCAUGAAGCUUAAUGUGGACUUCAGACCUGGGUUUACUGUUUACAGCAAUGUGAUCAACUUUUGCCUACCUUUGGUCGUAUCUAUUAUAAAUAUGAGUUUUAAAGGUGAAGUGUGCAAUUUUUUUGUUAAUACAUUUCUUCUAUCUCAUCAAUAUGUAGCCCGAUCUCAUUUUGUAUGUUUGGAUAUACACUGAAAAAUACGAUACAAACAAACUGACAGCAUCUUAAACAUAAACAUAUUUACAUUUUCACCGCUUAAAAAAGUGACAUAUUAUAUCAUACAUAUAUUUUUGAGCCCCUAUCCUGAUCACUUCUCAACCAUAUAAAAAGAAAUUUUAUAGGCAGAUUGAUGUAUAAUUUCAAUUUUAGUGACAAAAAAAUUGUAGAGAUUUUUUUCAAAUGUGUUAUUCUGUGGUGCAGUCACAAAAGGUCUGUUGUUAAUGGUGUAGUGAAGUCACUUGUAAACCAGUCAACUUUCUGUUGGUCAGUGUGGCAAAUUUGUUUGACCAACUUGAUGCCAGUGCAAAAUCUGUGUGGGGAAAUCUUUUGCCUCUAAAGGAAGUUCUGAAUCACAUGGAUUCCUAUUGAAAUUACUGGAUUUCAUCCAUGAAAAUUUAUCAGACAUCAAUAAUUGUUCCACACCUUUAGAAGCACAAACCUAUGAUAACUGACAAUAUCACAUUGCAGCAUGCAAAAACAACUAUAAGUAAAACAUCUGUUGGUUAAUUUUCCUGAAAAGUGUAGAAAACUAGCCCAACAGAGUAAUACUGCCUCAAUCAAUGGUUUGAAUUUGUCCAACCAAUAGAGGAGCAUUCAGAAAACUUAAAAAUGUAUUAAAGUGCCCCUAUU
ensembl:lncRNA